CUCCGCUUGGUGUAGUUGGUUGUAAGUUUAGCCCAGUCAUCUGACUGAUUGAUACAUGACUCUAAUAUCGUCUCAGUAUCACGUUCGGCUGUAAUAUACAUUGUUACCGAAAGGUCCCUAGUUCGAUUCUGGGAGCGGAGA